GGAGGGAAAAAGACGUGAAGGGCGCUUUAGUAAGCAUCAUAACCUUGAGAAUCCUGUGAGGGAAGUUCGAAUCUCUUCUACACGGCCCCAUGCCUCCUGCCAGCAACUUCAGUGCCUGCUUCCUUGACGUUGGACCAGCAGCCAGCUUGAGUUAGAAGAGACUUCACUAUCCUAUGUGUCCCACAAAAGAACUUGGUUAUCAAAACUAUAUUGUAACAUUAAGGAAGAGACAAAAUAUUGCUAUCACAAUGCCAGGACCAGGCAAAGGGCAGACCUGAAUUCAG